GUUUGUUGAACUCUUUUUACAAAUACGCAAAAAGAAGUUGUUCAUUGAAGAACAUUAACUCGAUUCCUUUGUUGAUGCCUGAGGUGCCAAAACAAAAUGAUGACAAAAGUUGUGGUUUCUAUGUCUUGUUCUAUACAACUCAGUUCUUGAAGAUGUGUCCUUAUACGUUCAGCUUAAUGGCUGAUUAUCCCUCAUUUAUGAGUAAAACUUGGUUUACUGCUGAAGAUGUCGAAGAAUUGCGCAGUGGUUUGUUGAAUCUUUUUCGGAAAACAGG